GUUCCCCACGGCCCCACCAGACUCAGCAGCCCAGCUGGCUUCACCCAAUGGAUCCCGCACGGGGGCUGCAGGUGGAGCUGCCUGCCAGUCCCGCGCCGUGCGACCACACCCCUCAGCCCUUGGGUGGUCCAUGGGACUGGGCGCCGUGGAGCAGGGGGCGGUGCUCGUCGGGGAGGCUCGGGCAGCACAAGAGCCCACGGCGUGUGGGGAGGUUCAGGCAUGGCGGGCUGCAGGUCCCGAGCCCUGCCCUGCGGGAAGGCAGCCAAGGCCCGGCGAGAAAUUGAGCACAGCAGCUGCUGGCCCAGGCGUUAAACCCCUCACUGCCCGGGGCCGGCAGGGGCUCCCUGCCGCUCUGAGUGCGGGGCCCGCCAAGCCCACGCCCACCCGGAACUCCAGCUGCCCCGCAAGCGCCGCGCGCAGCCCGGGUUCCCGCCCGCAGCCCGGGUUCCCGCCCGCGCCUUUCCCUCCACACCUCCUCGCAAGCUGAGGGAGCCGGCUCCGGCUUUGGCCAGCCCAGAAAGGGGUUCCCAGAGUGCAGCGGCGGGCUGAAGGGCUCCUCAAGUGCCGCCAAAGUGGGAGCCCAGGCAGAGGAGGCGCCGAGAGCGAGCGAGGGCUGUGAGGACUGAGAGCACGCUGUCAUCUUUCAGAAGGAGGUCUUAUCUGAUGACUUUUAUUUUCUCCAUGAAGCCGAAACUCUCUCUGUACCACGUACCUGCUGCCAGAAGCUGGGAAGGAGUGGUGCUGGUGAUUCAAAACUGAUUUUCCUGCCUCUUCGAUGCCUCUUUUAGUGACAUACAGUUAAGACCAGGCACUGCUGGACUGAAGUGGCAUGAUCACAGCUCGCUGCAACCUUAACCUCUUGGUCUCAAUUGAUCCUCCUACCUGAACCUCUCAAGUAGAGCUGGGACUACAGUGCACACCACCAUGCCCAGCAAUGUGUGAAAGAGCCUCUUUCCCUACUGCUUCACCAAGUUUAAAACUUCAAAUUUUUUCAACUUGAUAGGAACCAUGAUCUGUGACUGCCAUGGAAAAGUGUUGGGCAGGAGGAGGCCAGCUGGGUCUUUGAAGUUGACAAUGGAGCCAGGAAUGAAAGCUGCACUUAGGAUGAGAAUUGCUUUCCCUGGAGCCAAGUCAGCAAAUGCAGUCUGGUUGUCAGAGCUGAGAGGCUUCACCAAGUCAAGUAGGGGAGGACAUCUUCACUCUGCAACUUGCCCUACUGAAUGCAGAAAGUACUGUCUACUUAGAUAAAGCCUACACUAAAAGGGAAUUGAAUCUCUGCAAAUAAGUAUGUGGAUCUAAUUUCUACCUUCCAGAUUAAAAGUAUAAUUAAAAAUGAAAACCUUUGUAGGACUAAAUUGAUUUUGCAGACAAAUCUCACUUCUUAGCUUGAGCUGACUUAUUCCCAAUCUUAAACCCUAAUUAAUAACAUACAAGAAU
rnacentral:lncRNA from 1 species